GGUCCCGUGGUGUAGCGGUUAACAUGCUGCCCUGUCAAGGCAGAGAUCGCGGGUUCGAAUCCCGUCGGGACCGCCA
rnacentral:tRNA from 1 species